rnacentral:rRNA from 1 species
CCCGAAGACGCCGUCGGGAGAUCCGGGCAGAGUUUUCUGUUCUGCAUGAGCGUUCGAGUUCCCUGGAAUCCUCUAGCAGGGAGAUAGGGUUUGGAACGCGAAGAGCACCGCAGUUGCGGCGGUGUCUGGAUCUUCCCCUCGGACCUUGAAAAUUCGGGCGAGGGACACGUGGAGGUCUCGCGCCGGUUCGUACCCAUAUCCGCAGCAGGUCUCCAAGGUAAAGAGCCUCUAGUUAAUGGAAUAAUGUAGGUAAGGGAAGU